rnacentral:rRNA from 1 species
CGGACGGGUGAGUAACACGUGGAUAACCUACCUAUAAGACUGGGAUAACUUCGGGAAACCGGAGCUAAUACCGGAUAAUAUAUUGAACCGCAUGGUUCAAUAGUGAAAGACAGUUUUGCUGUCACUUAUAGAUGGAUCCGCGCCGCAUUAGCUAGUUGGUAAGGUAACGGCUUACCAAGGCAACGAUGCGUAGCCGACCUGAGAGGGUGAUCGGCCACACUGGAACUGAGACACGGUCCAGACUCCUACGGGAGGCAGCAGCG